rnacentral:rRNA from 1 species
AAUGAGUAAGUCGUAACAAAGUAAAUAUACUGGAAAGUGUAUUUAG